CAGCCGCCACGGUAAUACGUAGGGUGCAAGCGUUAUCCGGAAUUAUUGGGCGUAAAGGGCGCGUAGGCGGCCAUUCAAGUUAGAUGUGAAAGCCCUGGGCUCAACCUAGGAAUUGCAUUUGAUACUGUUUGGCUUGAGUUCGGGAGAGGUGAGUGGAAUUCCCAGUGUAGAGGUGAAAUUCGUAGAGAUCGGGAGGAACAUCAGUGGCGAAGGCGGCCAUCUGGGACAACGCUGACGCUGAGGCACGAAAGCGUGGGGAGCAAACAGGAUUAGAUACCCCCGUAGUCCCUGUCUCUUAUAC
rnacentral:rRNA from 1 species